GAAAAAGUCAGUGCAACUCUCAGUGUCGGUGAAUCCACGUUGCGAGAGAGAAAUGUGGGUGUUUUACCUGAUCUCGCUGCCUCUUAGAUGAGCAUGUUGCUUUUCACGUUGAGGGACAGGGUUUGGGGACAGGAGUUGGAGACAGAGGAUUUUGAUAUGUGGCAGAAACCACCUAAAAUGG